rnacentral:lncRNA from 1 species
CAGUCAUAUUAUUACUAGAUAAUAGAUUGUCCUGUAAUUAUUAGAAAUAUAAUUGUCAUAUUCAUAGAAGUAAGGUGAUGAGUUAUGAGUGCCAAUGAGACAACUCUCCAUCCAAGUCACAAUUUAUAAAAGUAAGCCAUUAUAUGUCAAAGUACUGUCUCAACACGAAGCCUUGGCUCACACCAAACAGCAAGCUAUAAAGGCCCUCAAAAAAUUAUUAGUGAAAAACCAUCAAAACAGGAAAACCAACAAUCUUUAAAAAAAAAAUGAGAAACAAGAAACACUUAUGAACCACAACUACUGAACAUCAGAUUCCUGACUUAAGACAGGUGCAAACAAUUGCAGCAGGUUUAAAUGUUUUAAUGGUACCAUACCUUCACCC